AAAACAUAACUGAUCACACUUAAGUAACACCAUCGAGGCAAUACAAUUAACGCAUACCUCGAAGGCUACAUAUAUAUAUAUAUAUAUAUAUAUAUAUACAAGGCAGAAAAAAAAAUGCUACAUUACACACGAUUGGGCCGCAACAUGGGCCUUGGUGAUGCCUACGUGAAGAAAGUCUUCGACUCCGUGGCGACCAAGUACGACAUGAUGAACGAUGUCCUCUCUUUAGGCAUUCACCGCAUCUGGAAGAAGCACUUUGUCGAGGAUUGUGUUUGCCCGUUGCCUGGCAGCAAGUUCCUGGAUGUUGCGGGUGGAACGGGCGAUAUUGCCUUCAGGAUCACUGACAGUAUCCGUGCCCGCGGGCAGUCGUUUGGCAUAGUGCCGAAGACUCUGGAUGGCACGAAAGUUGUUGUGUGUGAUAUAAACGCUAUGAUGCUCAAGGAAGGUCAGAAGCGUGCGGAGCGCGAGGGCUACAUGGACAUCGACUGGGUCUGCGCAAGUGGCGAGGAGCUUCCGUUCGAGGACGGCGCGUUUGACAGCUACACAGUGUCCUUUGGCAUCCGCAACUUCAGCGAUAGACCAAAGGCGCUGCGCGAAGCUUUUCGUGUACUCAAGGUAGGUGGUGCGCUGCACGUGCUGGAGUUCAGCAGAGUGACCUGCCCGCUUUUGAGCGUGCCUUAUGAAUUGUGGUCUUACGGCUUUAUGCCGCAGGCAGGGCGCAUGCUGGCGGAUGAAGAGAGCUACCGCUAUUUAGUGGAUAGCAUACGCGCUUUCCCGGACCAGGAGACGUUUGCGCAGAUGAUCCGCGACGCUGGCUUUGGGUAUGUGCGCUAUGAGAACUUGACUGGUGGCAUUGCGUGCAUUCAUACCGGUGUGAAGACUACUCCUACACCAAUAACCCCAACGACCAGCUCUGACAUUCCCGCUCAGAAUACUUCAGAGGCGACAUGUGAGGUAAAACCAGAGCCGAAUUCUGCGUAGACUCUGGAACACGCAGCACCGUGGCAGCAGCUCUUUCGAAGAAAACAAACGCUCUUGUUCUUCGGUUUGACAAUGAUGCCCAAAGAGGGGGCGAAUAAACGACGAAAAGAGCAGGGCGAGUAUUGAAAAUCACAGAGAGGUGACUCUUGCCGGCUGCAGGCGCGGUCGCUUGUGUGAUUCUAUCUUCUCCAUUCUUUGCCGCUAAGUAGCUCUUUUUUUUCCCCGCCGCACAGUUGUCAAAGUAGCUUUUUUUUUUUGAUCUGCCAAUGCUGUGCUUUUCGCACCCUUUACGCGUCUCUCUGGCGUACUACAUCCACACAUUUUAUGUUGAUGUUGUAUCGCCGCAUCGAAG
rnacentral:misc_RNA from 1 species